rnacentral:rRNA from 1 species
GAUGAACGCUAGCUACAGGCUUAACACAUGCAAGUCGAGGGGAAACGACAUCGAAAGCUUGCUUUUGAUGGGCGUCGACCGGCGCACGGGUGAGUAACGCGUAUCCAACCUGCCCAUCACUUGGGGAUAACCUUGCGAAAGUAAGACUAAUACCCAAUGAUAUCUCUAGAAGACAUCUGAAAGAGAUUAAAGAUUUAUCGGUGAUGGAUGGGGAUGCGUCUGAUUAGCUUGUUGGCGGGGUAACGGCCCACCAAGGCAACGAUCAGUAGGGGUUCUGAGAGGAAGGUACCCCACAUUGGAACUGAGACACGGACCAAACUCCUACGGGAGGCAGCAGUGAGGAAUAUUGGUCAAUGGGGGAGAGCCUGAACCAGCCAAGUAGCGUGCAGGAAGACGGCCCUAUGGGUUGUAAACUGCUUUUAUAAGGGAAUAAAGUGAGAGUCGUGACUCUUUUUGUAUGUACCUUAUGAAUAAGGACCGGCUAAUUCCGUG